rnacentral:RNase_P_RNA from 1 species
GCGGUUGGUAACAACCGUGGCGAUGGUAAACCCCGCCCGGAGCAAGACCAAAUAGGAAUCUGAUGCCGUGACCCUCGGCGGAUUCGGGUAGGUCGCUUCAGGCGAACGGUGACGUUCGUCGCAGAUGAAUGAUCGUCCACGACAGAACCCGGCUUAUCGACCGACUCAUUCU